UGUCAUGAUAGAGCACAUGUCAUUUGCAGAGAGAGAGCAAGACGAGGUGUACCCUGCCUGCUGUCUCCUUGCACCUCGGUAAGACGAGGUGUACCCUGCCUGCUGUCUCCUUGCACCUCGGUAAGACGAGGUGUACCCUGCCUGCUGUCUCCUUUUGCACCUCGGUAACCUUUUGAUAACUACUCAACGCUGCACAGCACAGGAUUCAGCAUUCAAUCACUCUCAUAAUUUUAUUGUCAUUUCAUCUUUUAUGGGGGACGCCCCACUCUUAAUUUUUAUCGCUGCUGACGUACGUAUAUAUAAGAGCACUACAAGAUACGACAGGAAAGGGUCAGUAUAAUAAUUAUGUAUUGUCCCAUGCACAGUGAUGCUUUAAUAUUAUAUAGAUCUCCAAGCGCAUCACUAUGAAUUAUCUGCUGUAUUUCAUAUUUUAAUGAUGUAUUAUUAUGGAUGUAUGGAUGGUGUUAUGAUUCUUAGCCUUCCAGCUGGAGGAGAUGAUCGGCUCUGAGUAGGGUUAGGCUGGGGGAUGGACUGGAGUCACUGGACCCACCUCUGAGAGACAAAGGGCCAGUUACUGUAUCAUGCAGUGUAUGUGAUUUUCUGACAGGAAAGGCUACUCUAAACAGAGGGAAUCGGCCACACAAGAGAGGACUCCCAUGGUGGCAAUGAUCUGAUGAUGGCUCUGAUGGACCAAUGCAGGAGAAGUUAUUCUGUAUAAUUAUUACACUAAAUUAAUGUAUGCCACUGUUUGGAUCGGUUUCUGUUCUGCUCAGCUUCUUCCUCCAACUUGCUUACGCAGGCUAAGCUUAUUCUUAGUUCAUUCUUAGUUCAUUCUUAGUUUCUUCUAUAGUCUAGUAUUAUUAUCGGUUUGGUUGUUUAUGUUUUUCACCUGGUCAUACGGAAUCACGUCAUUAUUAUUAUUAACAGUGUGCAGACCACACCUCUAUCCACACAUUGUAUCUGCACAUCCUGUAUAUAUGGGGCCACACCCCCACUCACUGUACUGAUAUGUGGUCACACCCCCAUACAUGGUAACCCUCUUGACCACACCUCCACUCAUGCAUUGUGUCGUACAUGCUGUGUUUUUGUGUACAGUACACACAUCAUCCGUGUCUUUAUCCCCACACCUAGUCGGAGGGAGCAGCAAGUUCUACUAAGAGCCAGCAUCACCAACUAACCAACACACUACAAGACCUACCUACUACCAGCUAGGACAGCACACCACCCGGGACAGACUCUACUAUACCAUGUAAUACGCCUUUGUAUUACGAUCAUGAUACAAUUUGCUGCCCUCCCUCGCCCAUGGAUUGAAUAAUUAUGGACGAGACUGACACACAAUAAUAGACACCAAAGGGCCAGUUACUGUAUCAUGUACGAAUAUUCUGUUGCUUGUACAUUUCGUAACAUUAUCAGUAAUUGACUGUAGAGUAGCUCCCCUUUCUUCAUCACUCAAUGCAGGCAGUGUAUGUGAUUUUCUGACAGGAAAGGCUACUCUAAACAGAGGGAGUCGGCCACACAAGGUAUAGUCUAAUAAUUAUUGUACGGUACUCUCUGUUUUGGGUCAGAUGCAAUUGACUAGCCAGUUUAAAACAUUUCUUCUACUCUUGGCUUAAGAAAUUGUAUUUUAUUAUUGUACCAGUAUUAGGUAGUUAACUCCACUUAUGCAUUGACCUCUACUACUGUGUAGCGGGAAAGUUCAUUAUUUGAGCCCUCGAGAAAUGCUGUAUAGUUGUUCUCAUUUCAAUGCCAGGAAACCAUAGCUUUGCAUGGUGCGUGGGAGUGUCUUCUAUUUUUAUUACAUGAAGUGUGAAGUGUGUUGUAAGUUUGUACAGACCCAUGGUCUGAUGAUGGCUCCACUGCUCUGAUGGACCAAUGCAGGAGAAGUUAUUCUGUAUGAUUAUUACACUAAAUUAAUGUAUGCCACUGUUUGGAUCGGUUUCUGUUCUGCUCAGCUUCUUCCUCCAACUUGCUUACGCAGGCUAAGCUUAUUCUUAAUUAGUUCAUUCUAUAGUCUAGUAUUAUUGUCGGUUUGGUUGUUUUAUGUUUUUCACCUGGUCAUACGGAAUCACUUCAUUAUUAUCAGUGCAGACCACACCUCUAUCCACACAUUGUACCUGCACAUCCUGUAUAUAUGGGGCCACACCCCCACUCACUGUACUGAUAUGUGGUCACACCCCCAUACAUGGUAACCCUCUUGACCACACCUCCACUCAUGCAUUGUGUCGUACAUGCUGUGUUUUUAUGUACAGUACACACAUCAUCCGUGUCUUUAUCCCCACACCUAGUCGGAGGGAGCAGCAAGUUCUACUAAGAGCCAGCAUCACCAACUAACCAACACACUACAAGACCUACCUACUACCAGCUAGGACAGCACACCACCCGGGACUUAAUACGCCUUUGUAUUACGAUCAUGAUACAAUUUGCUGCCCUCCCUCACCCAUGGAUUGAAUGAUUAUGGACACUCGCAGGACAACUAAGAGACUGACACACAAUAAUAGACACCAAAGGCAGUGUAUGUUAUUUUCUGACAGGAAAGGCUACUCUAAACAGAGGGAGUCGGCCACACAAGGUAUAGUCUAAUAAUUAUUGUACGGUACUCUCUGUUUUGGGUCAGAUGCAAUUGACUAGCCAGUUUAAAACAUUUCUUCUACUCUUGGCUUAAGAAGUUGUAUUUUAUUAUUGUACCAGUAUUAGGUAGUUAACUCCACUUAUGCAUUGACCUCUACUACUGUGUAGCGUAAAAGUUCGUUAUUUGAGCCCUCGAGAAAUGUUGUAUAGUUGUUCAUAUUUCAAUGCCAGGAAACCAUAGCUUUGCAUGGUGCGUGGGAGUUUCUUCCAUUUAUAUUACAUGAAGUGUGUUGUAAGUUUGUAUAGAGAGGACUCCCAUGGUGGCAAUGAUCUGAUGAUGGCUCCACUGCUCUGAUGGACCAAUGCAGGAGAAGUUAUUCUGUAUAAUUAUUACACUAAAUUAAUGUAUGCCACUGUUUGGAUCGGUUUCUGUUCUGCUCAGCUUCUUCCUUCAACUUGCUUACGCAGGCUAAGCUUAUUCUUAAUUAGUUCAUUCUUAGUUCAUUCUAUAGUCUAGUAUUAUUGUCGGUUUGGUUGUUUUAUGUUUUUCACCUGGUCAUAUGGAAUCACUUCAUUAUUAUCAGUGCAGACCACACCUCUAUCCACACAUUGUACCUGCACAUCCUGUAUAUAUGGGGCCACACCCCCACUCACUGUACUGAUAUGUGGUCACACCCCCAUACAUGGUAACCCUCUUGACCACACCUCCACCCAUGCAUUGUGUCGUACAUGCUGUGUUUUUGUGUACAGUACACAUCAUCCGUGUCUUUAUCCCCACACCUAGUCGGAGGGAGCAGCAAGUUCUACUAAGAGCCAGCAUCACCAACUAACCAACACUACAAGACCUACCUACUACCAGCUAGGACAGCACACCACCCGGGACAGACUCUACUAUACCAUGUAAUACGCCUUUUUAUUAUGAUCAUGAUACAAUUUGCUGCCCUCCCUUGCCCAUGGAUUGAAUAAACAACUAAGAGACUGACACACAAUAAUAGACACCUAACUGCAUUUUUGCCAUUAAUAUAAUAAAAAUAAUUUUGCCAUUAAUUAAUCAUUAA